rnacentral:rRNA from 1 species
GACCAUGGCUCAGAUUGAACGCUGGCGGCAUGCCUUACACAUGCAAGUCGAACGGUAACGGGCCUUCGGGUGCCGACGAGUGGCGAACGGGUGAGUAAUGCAUCGGAACGUACCUUUCAGUGGGGAUAACGUAGCGAAAGUUACGCUAAUACCGCAUAUUCUGUGAGCAGGAAAGCAGGGGAUCGCAAGACCUUGCACUGAUUGAGCGGCCGAUGUCAGAUUAGCUAGUUGGUGAGGUAAAGGCUCACCAAGGCGACGAUCUGUAGCGGGUCUGAGAGGAUGAUCCGCCACACUGGAACUGAGACACGGUCCAGACUCCUACGGGAGGCAGCAGUGGGGAAUUUUGGACAAUGGGGGCAACCCUGAUCCAGCCAUGCCGCGUGAGUGAAGAAGGCCUUCGGGUUGUAAAGCUCUUUCGGCCGGGAAGAAAUCGUAUGGGCUAAUACCCUGUGCGGAUGACGGUACCGGCAUAAGAAGCACCGGCUAACUACGUG